UGCUUUCGCUGAGGGAUGUCAGAGCUGAGACGCUGCAGCGCCCGUCACCAGCAGUCUCUUUAGGUUGACUGCCUACAGACAGUUUACCCUCUGGGCCAGGGGCCAUUUGGGAAGGAAGAACCGGGUCCCGAUUCCAGCCUGUGUGGCCUGGCCUUCCACAGAUGUACAGUAUGAGUGGUCAUUGUUUAUGACCUGGUUGGUAAGUAUGUCAUCUGUCAAAGUGCCUGUGCAAAUGUACUGCUUAUUGUCUCCCUCUUCUGUAUCCUGUUGAAAUGGAUCGGUCUGGGUGCCGACACUGACUGUCAGGGUGUGCACACUGCCUGUCACCUGCUCUAUCUCCUCACUGAUGUCAGCCUCUGGGAAUUUGCUGCUGGCCACCAGUUGCAUGCAUGCCUGCCUAACCUGUUAACACAAAUGUACACUUUUUAGGUACCCAAAUGAUGUUAUCAGCCUUAACAUGAAAGACUUUGUACUUACAUCCUGACUACUGAUUUAUUAAAGAUUCAUAUACCCUAAA